rnacentral:lncRNA from 1 species
GGCCCUCAGAUCUCGAUGCAUCGAUACAAAAGGCUCAAAGGGGAUUCUCGCUAAGGAGAUGUAUGUUUCUGCAACUUAGGACAAUAUCCACAUAUAUAAUGUCGACCAUAUUGUGAUCGCAAAGGCUGCAGCUAUGUAAGUCCAUAGGUAGAUGACUGAACACUCUGCUUGCCCAACAUUAAACAAUUCAGUGAUUGUACCUGCAUAAUUGAGUCCAUAGUGAGAAUAAGGGACCAGAAGUCUGCAAUUCAGAAACAAACAGAAGUUCCUUACCGAUAUUCAUAGCAGGCGGAACACUAAACUGAAGCAUAAGGACAAAAUGGAACAGUGGAUCUGAUGGAAGCCAGCCGAAGCUGCUAACUACUUUAACCACGCCAAUGCCAACAACGGGAAGGAUCAGGUACCGCACACAAAGUAUUGCCACUAUGAUCAGAGGCUUUAUAUUCGCGUCUUGUAAGCCUGACACCAUCAUAUAUUAUAUAAUUAUUACAAUUAAGUUGCUUUUCAAAUUGUUUUUGUAAUUCAUGAGUAGUCUUUGCUAGUUCGCUAACAGUAUAAUCUGAUCAUAACGAGAACAAUUUCUUUUAUAGGCAUUAGUGAAAUUUGCUUUGACUUGUGUUUCUCAACAAUCAAAGCGUUUUUUUACCUUGCGCAAGGUUGCCACCAAGUAUGAGGGUGAUGCAAGGUAUGGUUGCAGUCCUGCAUAAUAUGUUACAGUUACACUACAAAUUGAACAAACACGAGUUUGAACUUCUAUGAAUCCUGGUUUCUGUAUACAGUCACAAGUAAAGUCGAGAAAAAACAAACCCAAGUAAUUGCACAGUGUCUUGGAGCACUCUGAGUGGAGCUUCUUCACCUACCAUAAGAUACUUAAGCCAAGGAACUGUCGCAACCAGGAAGCCAAUAAUCUGAGAAAAAUGAAGGCGUUAUUUACGUAUUGUAGUUUGGUUUUGGGAGGAAUUUCAUACUAUCAGUAGACGACAUUUGUAGGGAACUCACCAUACUAAGGGUCGGAGGUGCCAUCAUUUCCUCCAAAAUCUGGUACAUGACUCCUGUAAAUAUAUUCCAGAUCGACUCUUGCUUGUUUGUCUGAUUGCUGUCGGAUCCUUGGUACACAAUCUGUGAAUGAAGUAAAUAUCGAUAUAGACUACCUAGUUAUUAAUCAAUGACUCUAAAAUUCAGAAUGAAAUAAACUUACGGCAUUGCUUUUUGUUUCCUCUGCAGCUGACUCCUGAACUUGUCCAUUCAGUAGUUGGGUACUCUCAUUUGCUUCCAAAUCUUUAUUGGGUGACAUUACAGCCUCUUUAGAUGCUUUCGAGGCAUUAAAUUUCAUAGAAGAACUUCGUAUCAAUUGGUAAGCAUAAGUCCAUACAAUUAUACCACCAAGCUGCAAAUGAGAAUGGUCACUUGUAUAUUUUCAGCUUGACAUGAAGCAAGCAUGCUAGAAUUUAUAUUCUUCAUAAUUAAAAAUUGAAAAAAAAAAAGAAGAAAGUAAACGCAACACGUCAUACACUAAUCUUCAAUCUAAUAUCAUGUCACAAUUCACAAUUUUACUUGAAAAUUUAAUAAAUAAAGCAUGAGUUUUUACAGUGAAUCUGACAGAGCAGAACUUACGGCCAUGGAGAAAGAAGAGUAGGAGAGGCCUUUAGAAGAGCAGAUUUGAUGAUCACCAAAUGGGCUGCCUUCCUCAGUGCAAAUCGCGGGAACAAUUAUAAUGACAAUGUUUCCCAAGUUUCCUAAUACACACACAUAACAUAACAUGAAAUUUUCAGAACCUGUAAUACACGCUUAAUGAACGCUGCAUAAUAGUACUAAUAAUAAAGAAUAUAAAUAGACAAAUACACUAACUAGUGGAAGUCUGCCAUAAUACCUGAAGAACACAUAGCAAUAAUAAGACCUUCUAAAUGUGGUUCUGGGUGAAGUAGUUUCACUGCAAUCCACCCCAGAAUCCCUCCAAUUAGAAAGGUUAACGCAGCAUUGAUCGGCAUAAACCACCUUAAAUAGAAGACGAGGAAGCAAACAGAUAUAUUUGGAAGACUAGUUUGGAAGGUGAAAAUACAAGCGAAAAUCAUGCUGCACGAUGAGUCACUGCUUAUAAAUUCAUAUAUGCAAUUACCACGACAUGAUAUCUUGAAGGGUUACAGUCUCGGCUAGACUUGUAUACAAAAGCGCGGGAGUAAACACCACAAACACGAUCUGCAAUUCAACGUACAGGAAUAUUUUAAGGAUGGAAAGAAAGAAGACCUUAAACUUGACAGACAUCUAAUAGAAGCACAUUGGUUACUAAUAAGAAUGAAACAAAGCAUGAAAACAAACAUUUGUGCAAAAUUUUGAAGUGACAGAUGUAGUCACCUUGUUGAGGUUCUUGCGGGUAUCAGGGGGAAGAAGAUUGAGGUAAUUAGUAGCCAUCAGAACUCCCAAAAUGCUUAUUAAAAGCACCUGCAAUAUUGGCAUUGAUGCCACUUCUAAUAGCGUCCAAAACCCCAUCUUUCUUUAAUGUAUUCGAUCUUCACGAACAAACAACAGCUUCCUUUAUUGAUUAAUGGCUAAUUCCACCUUCACUGUGUACAUAGAAGUACACAAGUCUUCAGCUACAUACAUUUAUAUGCAUUAAGCUUAUACUGAGAAAAAGGAAAGUACUGGGAAAUUGCUUAAAAACAAGAUCAGACUUCAUGAUUAUGUCAUCUGGUAUGAUCUCAAAGAAAACGCCAAAAGAAUCAAAAAGUCAAGAAAAAAAAUAAAAAAAUUCAAGAUCAUAACGGACUUUCAGACACAACCUGUGGCUCAUCGCUUAUCGUUUCUUCACAACAAUACAACUAAUUGUCUAAUUCUCAGAUCUCCUGGUAUGACUACACAAAAAUUAGUACAUGUCAUAACUUACUUGCUAUCUCUUCAAAUCUGUCCUCCCCUGAACCAAUAUAUCAUACUUGCAUUCUUCAUCUGUGUCCUAUAAUUAUUCGGUUGCUUAUGGGGACAGGGGCCCUUGUCAUUAAUUUGAAAAGAACCAGACCAUCACAAAGUUCGUUUUCAUUACAUAACUAAAAUUUUAAAUUUUAAACCUUAAAGCAAUAAAUCUACAUCAAUAUGGUUGUGUAUUCCUCAUGGCCGCAUAUACAAAAGGGCCUACAGAACUAAAAUUUUCCCAUGAUGGUGAUCACCUUCCAACAAUUUCUAGAGUUAACAACUUUAUGCUCUCUUUUUUUCUUGAAUUAAUCUAUAAAAAAACAUGCACCAUAAAACAAAGCAAUUAUGCCCUUCCAGUUUUUUCUAACUAGAUAAAUAAUGAUGUUAUUCUGACACCACAUAAAAGUAUUUUUUAUUAAAAAAUUAUUGGCAUGGAUGAAAAUUAUGAUAAGAGUAGAAAUUUCUGCGAAAAAACAGAAGGCGACAGAAACCAGAUGCAAGAAUCCAUUAUUGCAGAGUAAUAACUAAAAGCAAUAAAUGAAUAUAAGACAAGAAGCAAUUACUAUCACAGUAUAGGAACAGUGUUUCAUGCAGAAACAUACAAAUACGUAACAUAAUAAUAUGCUAAGCAGCAAGCAGUGGCGGAAUCAGUUCCGAAAAGCCAGACUGAAAGAAGGCUGUGGUCAGACAAAUCUUAAUCUUUUUAAGUUGAAACUGUAUCAAGGAAAAUGAGAAAAGAGAAGAUGAAGUUGAUUAGAGACGUGUAGAAGAAAGAGAGAAAGCAAAAGAGAAGAUGAUGAGGAAUAAGGGGGUGUAUUUUAGCCAUANAAGCAAAAGAGAAGAUGAUGAGGAAUAAGGGGGUGUAUUUUAGCCAUCCCCGACACUCUGUUAGCAGCCUUGGCAAUUCUGGGGCUACUAUUGUAACGUACACAUGUUUGUCUAUAGCAACUAAGAUAGAAAACUCCAACUAAUCUACUACUACUUUGUACCAGAAUUUUUGUUACAUUGAUGAUGCAUAAUAAGUUUAUAAGAAAUAAGCAAUCGUCACCAUCAUUUUACUGGUUUUUUUAAUUUCCCAACGUUUAAGUUUAAGUGUAGUAAAAAUUGAGAAUCAGAACUAGUUCGUCUAACUAUCAAUCCAUUAUUUACUGAAAACUCAUGAAAUAUUAUAAAUUAAAAUUUUUAAUCAAAUUAGAGUGUAAUCAAUGAAUUGACAAAUUUUUUACAAAAAUUAUUAUGAGAAAUUAAUAUUUUAUACAAAUGUUAUAUAUUUAUAUAAAAUAUUUCACAAAAAAAAAGUAAAAAAAUAUUAUUUUUUCCCUGACAAUCUUGAUAUUGAUACGAAUGUGUAUUUUGGGUGCUCGAGAGUCUACAAGGCCCAAGACUAGGCCUCAUCGUAUUGGGCCCCUUUCAGGAGGAAGAUAGCAGAAGGGGAAGCCUAAUCCUAUUAGGUUUAGGUUUCCUAAGGAGAAAAGAACUACGUACUGGCUUGAUCCCCUAUAAAUAUAGGGGUACGUAGGCAAAUUAGGGGGACACGAGUUGGGAGCACAUGGAGGCAACUCGAAACCCUAAUCUCAGCCACCCCUAAAUUUCAUCACCACCGCUUAGCCACCAUCAUAGAUCUUGAUUCCGGCCACGAACCUCAAAUUUACGGAGGAAUUUGGUAGUUAACAUGUAUAACCGUUUGCAACUGAGAAAUUAAGCAAUGAAGUAUAUAACUAGAUAGAACAUGAAACUCAGGAGUCAGCUUCUUUCUACAUGAAUGUGAAUGUUGAGUUUGUAAAUAUGUGGGUCUCAUCUCAUGGCACAUUUUCACUUUCUAAGCUGCCACUGCAGCACAGAAAUUUCUUUAUUCACAAAGUUAGCACAGAACACUGAAGAAGUAUAGUGCUAACUGCUAAUGUUCAGAACACUUGAAUAUGUUUCACAGAAUCCAAUUUACAUGCGCAACGUACAAGUCCUUUAACAUUAUUUCUUCACUCUGGAAUGCCUAUACCUGAAUCUGAAUGUUCUUAUAUUACACACAAGCAUGUCAUAAAAAUCUAUGCACCCGGCCCUCAGAUCUCGAUGCAUCGAUACAAAAGGCUCAAAGGGGAUUCUCGCUAAGGAGAUGUAUGUUUCUGCAACUUAGGACAAUAUCCACAUAUAUAAUGUCGACCAUAUUGUGAUCGCAAAGGCUGCAGCUAUGUAAGUCCAUAGGUAGAUGACUGAACACUCUGCUUGCCCAACAUUAAACAAUUCAGUGAUUGUACCUGCAUAAUUGAGUCCAUAGUGAGAAUAAGGGACCAGAAGUCUGCAAUUCAGAAACAAACAGAAGUUCCUUACCGAU